rnacentral:rRNA from 1 species
GUGGACGGCGGGUGCCUAUACAUGCAAGUCGAGCGGACAGAUGGGAGCUUGCUCCCUGAUGUUAGCGGCGGACGGGUGAGUAACACGUGGGUAACCUGCCUGUAAGACUGGGAUAACUCCGGGAAACCGGGGCUAAUACCGGAUGCUUGAUUGAACCGCAUGGUUCAAUUAUAAAAGGUGGCUUUUAGCUACCACUUACAGAUGGACCCGCGGCGCAUUAGCUAGUUGGUGAGGUAACGGCUCACCAAGGCAACGAUGCGUAGCCGACCUGAGAGGGUGAUCGGCCACACUGGGACUGAGACACGGCCCAGACUCCUACGGGAGGCAGCAGUAGGGAAUCUUCCGCAAUGGACGAAAGUCUGACGGAGCAACGCCGCGUGAGUGAUGAAGGUUUUCGGAUCGUAAAACUCUGUUGUUAGGGAAGAACAAGUACCGUUCGAAUAGGGCGGUACCUUGACGGUACCUAACCAGAAAGCCACGGCUAACUACGUGCCAGCAGCCGCGGUAAUACGUAGGUGGCAAGCGUUGUCCGGAAUUAUUGGGCGUAAAGCGCGCGCAGGCGGUUUCUUAAGUCUGAUGUGAAAGCCCCCGGCUCAACCGGGGAGGGUCAUUGGAAACUGGGGAACUUGAGUGCAGAAGAGGAGAGUGGAAUUCCACGUGUAGCGGUGAAAUGCGUAGAGAUGUGGAGGAACACCAGUGGCGAAGGCGACUCUCUGGUCUGUAACUGACGCUGAGGCGCGAAAGCGUGGGGAGCGAACAGGAUUAGAUACCCUGGUAGUCCACGCCGUAAACGAUGAGUGCUAAGUGUUAGAGGGUUUCCGCCCUUUAGUGCUGCAGCAAACGCAUUAAGCACUCCGCCUGCGGAGUACGGUCGCGGGACUGAAACUCAAAGGAAUUGACUGGGGCGCGCACAAUCUGUGGAGCAUGUGGUUUAAUUCAAAUCAACGCCAAAAAACUUUACCGGGUCUUGACGUCCUCUGACAACCCUAGACAUAGGGGUUCGCCUUCCGGGGGAGGAGUGACAAGUGGUGGAAGGGUUGUCGUCUCCUCCACACCACGAGAUGUUGGAGUUAAGUCGCUUCACUCCCCCCCAACCGGUG